UACAGAGGGUGCAAGCGUUGUUCGGAAUUAUUGGGCGUAAAGCGCGUGUAGGCGGCUUUGCAAGUCGGGUGUGAAAGCCCUCAGCUUAACUGAGGAAGUGCGCCCGAAACUGCAGAGCUUGAAUACCGGAGAGGAUGGCGGAAUUCCCCAAGUAGAGGUGAAAUUCGUAGAUGUGGGGAGGAACACCGGUGGCGAAGGCGGCCAUCUGGACGGCUAUUGACGCUGAGACGCGAAAGCGUGGGGAGCGAACAGG
rnacentral:rRNA from 1 species